rnacentral:rRNA from 1 species
UACGUAGGGCGCAAGCGUUGUCCGGAAUUAUUGGGCGUAAAGAGCUCGUAGGCGGUUUGUCGCGUCUGCUGUGAAAACUCGAGGCUCAACCUCGGGCUUGCAGUGGGUACGGGCAGACUAGAGUGCGGUAGGGGAGACUGGAAUUCCUGGUGUAGCGGUGGAAUGCGCAGAUAUCAGGAGGAACACCAAUGGCGAAGGCAGCUCUCUGGGACGGUACUGACGCUGAGACGCGAAAGCGUGGGGAGCGAACAGG